GAAUAUUGGACAAUGGGCGCAAGCCUGAUCCAGCCAUGCCGCGUGAGUGAUGAAGGCCCUAGGGUUGUAAAGCUCUUUCGACGGGGACGAUAAUGACGGUACCCGUAGAAGAAGCCCCGGCUAACUUCGUGCCAGCAGCCGCGGUAAUACGAAGGGGGCUAGCGUUGUUCGGAAUCACUGGGCGUAAAGCGCACGUAGGCGGAUCGUUAAGUCGGGGGUGAAAUCCCAGGGCUCAACCCUGGAACUGCCUUCGAUACUGGCGAUCUUCGAGUCCGGGAGAGGUGAGUGGAACUCCGAGUGUAGAGGUGAAAUUCGUAGAUAUUCGGAAGAACACCAGUGGCGAAGGCGGCUCACUGGCCCGGUACUGACGCUGAGGUGCGAAAGCGUGGGGAGCAAACAGG
rnacentral:rRNA from 1 species